rnacentral:snRNA from 1 species
GGAUGUGAAGGUAAUAUGGCUGCGACAUCUGUCACCCCGCUGAUCACCAGAGUUGAUUCGGCUGAUCGAUUGAUGCAGCUAGGCAGAUGUCCCCGAGACCUCACUGUCACAUGUACAUCCUUCCUGAAGCUGCACACUUGGUCAAAGAGGAAAACCACCCCCAAUGAGGAGUUCCGUUUCCUCCAACAAGGAUAUAUGAGUAGCUGUGCUCCUCUGUCAGGCCCUCCAAACAAGCUCUUAAGGUCAUUACAUAUUUAUUUAUUUAUUUAUUUGUUUAAGGUCCUUACAUAUUUAAAAGUAACAAACUUUU